rnacentral:rRNA from 1 species
GAUGAACGCUGGCGGCGUGCCUAAUACAUGCAAGUCGAGCGAACGGACGAGAAGCUUGCUUCUCUGAUGUUAGCGGCGGACGGGUGAGUAACACGUGGAUAACCUACCUAUAAGACUGGGAUAACUUCGGGAAACCGGAGCUAAUACCGGAUGAUAUUUUGAACCGCAUGGUUCAAAAGUGAAAGACGGUCUUGCUGUCACUUAUAGAUGGAUCCGCGCUGCAUUAGCUAGUUGGUAAGGUAACGGCUUACCAAGGCAACGAUGCAUAGCCGACCUGAGAGGGGGGUCGCCAAAACUGGAACUGAGACGCGGUCAGGACUCCUAGGGGAGGCAGCAGUGGGGAAUCUUCCGCAGGGGGGGAAAGCCUGACGGAGCACCGCGGCGGGGGUGAUGAAGGUCUUCGGAUCGUAAAACUCUUUUAUUGGGGAAAAACAUAUGUGAAAGAAACUGUGCACAUCUUGAGGGUACCUAAUCAAAAAGCCACGGCUAACUACGUC